UGCUAGUGAACUCCCAACAAACCUCUCCAUUUGGUCCUACUCUAAGGACAGGGGUCCACAGGGACUGCUGCAGAGCUGCCCUAAUACUAGGACACUACUAUUAGUGUAUACUUUCAGUAUCAAAAGGGGAUCUCUAAGAAAGAAGGGGACAGACUCUACGAAAGAGUGUAAAAAGGGACACACUACCUUGAGCUGGAGAGGUCUAUGAGCACUUGAUCUAGCUGUGGAUGUCCCUGUUCAUUGCAGGGGAGUUAAACUAGAUGACCUUUAAGGAUCCCUUCCAACUCAAACGAUUCUAUGAUUCUAGCUCCUGUCACUGCAUUAGAGAGAGGUUGCCGCAUGCUGCUUCCCGUGUCAGGAACAGCUGCUGCAGUCACCCGGGCAAUAUCCAAGUCCAAAUAGGACAAUGCUGUUUGCUCCUUAAAUGCUUCCGUUUGCUGAUGUAUCAGCAGGCAGAAGAAACCAUGUUUAGAACAAGCUCCUUGCUAUAAGUGUUUUUUCAAAUAAUUUAUAAUCCUCUAGUCACAUGAGUACACUUAUGACAAUGGAGUGCAGAAGAAAAUGUACAAACAUUUUUCAUUACAUUGCAUUACAUUUUGAUGUUAAGAUCUUGAUCCUUUUGUGUGAAAAGUGAGAUUAAAAACAGAAGUAUUUAAUCCUUUCAUAAUGCAACUAGAUUAUCCCUCUUGCACUCAAAAAUGCUUAUCGUAGUUGGCUGUAGUUAUUUUCUAAGCAGAAUCAGAAAAACAGCAGCAAGAAGAAACCACAGUUAGGUGUUUCCGCUGAUUACCUUUGUUCUUCCUGCCCUCAGAUACUGCAGGUAGUGUCUCCUGCAGCUAACACAUGGCUCAGACAAGAGUGCUACACCAGCCAGCCAGUGCUAACCAUAGUCCAGUGGAGGUUUCAAGUCAGGUGCUUUUAUUUGAAGGUAGAAAUUAACAGUGCUCCUUCAGCUGACAGUUCCUUUCCCCCACUAUGUGUCUGGAAGCACAGUGCCAACAUCUGAAGUGGAAAUGGCAGAGACCAGACCUGACCCUCCUGAUUCUGCAGCUGUUGGCUGAUAGUCUUUCCAAGCAGCAACACAAGUGCUGUGCUUGGUUGCACUGGGUAACCCCACAAACUGCUGAAAAUUUCAGAUUUGCACCCAGGUCACUCAUGUCAGAGCAGUUUGCAACAGGGGUGUUGUGGCAGCACCAAGCAGCAGAUAUAAUAUCUGCAUCAGGACUAAAAUGAGACAGCCCUGAGAAAUGGAAUGGUAUGUCAGAUAACAGAGCAAAAUACUUUUCAGGACCAUUAGGGAACUUGGAAUAAUGUAUAUGCUUGGAAAUACUGUGGCUUAAUUUCAAAAAGUGAAAGAAGACCUAAGAAGGACCUGCAUAACUUCUGUUACCUUGGUGUCCAAGUGAUGGUUGGAUUGGUCAAGUUCCACUGCUCACAGUGUUGGUAUGCACGUAGAUGAGCAGAAUUCAUCUUGGUUUGAAGUGACCGUGUCCAAGAGCGCUGUUACCUGUGUAAAGGCGAUUUCUCAUUCAGCCUGUUGCAACUGCACAAGUGAAAUACGGAGAAAUGGGAAACAAAAACAACACAACUGUAAAAUAAAAUAUUUUUAUUCCAGUGUAGAAAGAAUAUCAGCCCCGAGAACGGAGAAGCAAGCAUGCUACUGUUCCACACACCUGGAGCUUUUCAAAGUAAGAGAUGAAAAACUGUUUUCAGUUUGAGCUAGUAGGAAGAUAAAAGUUUGAAGCAGCGUUUUGGGUGAUUUUUCUGUGAUGAUGCAUUUCACAGGGAGGAGAGGCUGAAAUCAAGGACCGUGUUGUAGUAAUUUAUUCCAGCCUUGCAGGAAAAAGAUGCACUGUGGGUAAACUGAAGCAAAUGCCUUUUUAGAACAGAAGAAAGUUAGCUGAAGCCAAACCAUCAUUUUCACAGGCCUCUAGGAGCAAGGCAUAGCAGUGUGCAUCGCAGGGAGUUUUGCUGCAUGCACGGCACAGUGUUUGUUCAGUGCACAUCUGAACAGCGAUACAGCUAGAAAUUGGGCUCUCUAGAGCACAGCAUGUUGACAUACCAUGGGAAUGUGUAGCAUGAGAUUGAUUCCCUUUCAUCUAAAACUGGGGCCUCUGCUUCUGCACCGCCUAUGGUU
ensembl:lncRNA